GAACGAGACAAGCACAGUACUGACGAGCGGCACAGAGGACGACUGCUGUGGUUACACGUGUGAACCUAAGAUCAGUCCCAAGCCACGAUGUAACCGGAACCCGUGUACAUACACACGGUGUCCAUCCGGAACAACCUGCGAGGCGAAUGCAAACACUUGUUUGGCGACGUGUGUUCCCAUAAUAUUCAUCUGAUUCUGAGCUACACAGACUGAUGGGAUGAUGGGGGACAGCUCGGCCUGCCCUCUGGUGCUGAAAACGUAACAACCUUAUUGCAUACGCGUAGAACGUCUUACACGAGGAGCUAUCGUUAGACGCUAUAUUUGAUAUCACAUUCGAACUAACAUCCAUGGUCAAUCAUCAAACUUAUCAUAGAAGUUAUUACCAAUAUUUAAAAAAAUAGACAACUUGAUAUUUAAUAAUUAUUAUAAUAUUAUUAUUAUGUCACAUAGUUUUGAGAUAGUAAUGUCAAAUUACAAUGAAUAAAAAUAAAUUUUAAAUUAUAUGAUUUUA